rnacentral:lncRNA from 1 species
CAUAGUUUGAAUAAAAGGACUUCUGAAAACAUCCGCAGGCUUUUUCACAGUAAAGCUUUCAGUGAGACACUUUGCUUUUUGUCACUUUCAUAUUGGUUAUGAGUUAAUCCUAUGAGGAAGGAAGGGAGAAAAAGCAGAACACUUUUACUGCUCCACAACAGGCCACAGCAACACUGCAGACUGAGCGCUCUGCUGCUCUCUCAUCUGAGCUUUUCUCCACACCUGAGCUGUAUCUAGCAACCAAAACCAUAAUACCUAAAAAGACUUAGCUACCUAAACUGCUCCUAGCUACAUUUUUCUCUGUUCAUUAGACCCAGGUGCUCCCCUCUUCUUCUCACAAAGUUCAGCACACAAACACAUUUAUGCAGAAGACCAAAUCUCACUGGAAUAAAGGGAAUAGGCAAACUGCAAGGCUGCAUGUGCUGGUUCACAGGUGCUUAUGGUUUUGUCAAUGGAGAUGAUAAGUAGCCUUGCUGUAGCUUAUUUUCUCUUGGGGUAAGUUUGUAAAGGAAUCAGGUGUGGUAACUCAAGAAGUCACAGUGAAUUUACAAGCUCAGCAAAUAGUGAAGUUUAAAUGCAGAAAGCUUAGUAAAUCAGUGCAAAACAAGAAAUACUUGGAUGGCUUCAGUCUCUUUUAGGACCCACGAAACAAGAGGAUCUUUGAGCUCUACCUGGGAUCUGGAUACAUUGAACACCUGCUUGAGAUCAGACAGUGUCCCACAUGUACUGUUUUGGAUGAAACAAGCGUUCACAAAGGAACAAUACACUUCUGCCAGAAAAUAUGUUUCCAAAGCUCUGACAAACUUUCUGAAGUUAAUGCAACCACUUCCAAGAAAAGCUCAGGACUGCUGCCUCUGCAGCACAGCUUUGGUUGUGCAGAGCAGCAAAACCCAUGUUCUGAGCUCUGAGCAUCAAUUGGCUCAUCCUCCCGCACCUCCGUGCUGCACUUUUCCAUUUGGCAGACUAUGAAUCCCAUUGGUCACAAUGCAGAAUCUCCCUGCCUUGCAACAUGUGUGCAAGCCAGGGUUGUGAACCU